AUUGAACGCUGGCGGCAUGCCUUACACAUGCAAGUCGAACGGUAACAGGUUAAGCUGACGAGUGGCGAACGGGUGAGUAAUGUAUCGGAACGUGCCCAGUCGUGGGGGAUAACUGCUCGAAAGAGCAGCUAAUACCGCAUACGACCUGAGGGUGAAAGCGGGGGAUCGCAAGACCUCGCGCGAUUGGAGCGGCCGAUAUCAGAUUAGGUAGUUGGUGAGGUAAAGGCUCACCAAGCCGACGAUCUGUAGCUGGUCUGAGAGGACGACCAGCCACACUGGGACUGAGACACGGCCCAGACUCCUACGGGAGGCAGCAGUGGGGAAUUUUGUACAAUGGGCGCAAGCCUGAUCCAGCCAUGCCGCGUGCGGGAAGAAGGCCUUCGGGUUGUAAACCGCUUUUGUCAGGGAAGAAAAGGUUCUGGCUAAUACCUGGGACUCAUGACGGUACCUGAAGAAUAAGCACCGGCUAACUACGUG
rnacentral:rRNA from 1 species